rnacentral:tmRNA from 1 species
GGGGCUGAUCGGUUUCGACGCCGAUGGCAGUGGGCGUGUCGUGCGACCGGAGUUGCCCAGACUCCCUAAACGGGGCAACCAAAGAGACGCCAAUACGGACGAUCUCGCUCUCGCUGCCUGACCUGGUCAGGUAGUUGAGAGUCACUGCGACCGGCAACGGCACGCGGGGUCGGUCCACCGCAACCCGGCAACAGAAGCGGUGGAGACAGCUGGGACAGACCGCUGACGGCGUGAAAGACCGCUGACCCGGGGGAAAGACCCCGCGGCUGGACCCUAGUGGUCCGCCCGACCCGGCGGUGUGGCUGCCGUAAGCCGCAAUCUCGGGAAUGGUCGUAGCGCGCUCGGUCACACAUUGACGGACGGGGGUUCGAUUCCCCCCAGCUCCACAU